GUGCGGCAGGAGAGGUCUGUGCACCAUGUGGGACCCAUGCUGCUGGCUGGGGAUCAAACAGGCUCUGCAGAGGCUUUGGGCAGCUUCGCAGCCCAGAGCUCAACCCCUGUGCCAAAGCGGAGGCCCUCCAAGGGCAUUUUAGAGCACUGCUAUGUCCCUCUGUUAAAACAUGCAACUACCCAGUGGUUCUAAAAUCCUUUAGCAAGAGAAGAUGUCAUGUUCACAACAGAAGGAUGAGUGGUUGUAUUUGCUUCACUGCUAACAUGGUGUCUCGAUUUAUAAUUUGGUAAAGAGACAACAUAGAAGGCAUUCUAAAAUCUUUUAUAUGUAAGGACAAAAAGUAAAGCAGCACUUUAAAUGCAGCAUUAAUGUUCAAGAAAUAUUUCCUACAUGAAUCACACCAGAGUGAGAAAAUCCUGAUGCUCACAGCAUUGGAAGUGACUCUGAACUCUUUCUAGGACUUCUUUUUGGUGUGUGGCAGCAGGAGACUGAUCUCCUUUUUUCAUGAAGGAAAUGGAAGGUGCUGUUUACAUUGCUUUCAAAAGAAUUUUCUGAGAUGGUCUAAGUGGUCAAAGAACUAAGUCCCCAGUGUAAAUUUUACAAGAUAGAAAAAAAAAAAUCUGCGUCAUAAAAUGGCUAAGUACAACACAACAAAAUUGGACUUUGUUCAGCUGAAUCUAUCACUGACAGCUGCAGAAGUUUAAUCAAGUUCGUUACGUGUGUGUUGUGUCUAUAUAUUUUUCUUUUUGGCCAUCAAGACUUUAGUACAUAUUUCAAAUAUGGAUUUACUUCCUAAAUUCAGCCUUCAAAAAAACCCAUUUAACACAUGUAACAUGAAUCUUUCCUAUUCCUUACUUUCUAGCCCCCUUUUACAACACACAAUUUGCUAAAUGACCCUCGCUGCUGCAUCUGUUUCUCGCUGUCUGUCAGUCCGUCCAUCCAUAUCCGUAAGUUCUUGUCCUAAACCAGCAACUUUAAAGAAGUAGACCCAUCUUUGAUUUUCAUUCAUAGCCUAAUGAGGUAUAUCUGUGUGAAAAUGAUAACAAGAAUUAUGUCUAUGUUCCUAAAAUUAUUUUCAUUUGAGAUUCAUCAUACUUCAGCUUUUAUUGGUGCUAAAAAUAUCCUUAAAAUAUCACAAAAUUACCUCUUCCACAUCAAUGCUUACUAGAAGAGGUAGUGAAAUGUAGUAGGAAAAGAACAGAACAGAGCAUGCAGAGACUUCUGUUCUGGUCUCAAAUCAGGUGCUAACCACUUCCUCAACCUAGGGUUUUUGUUUGUCAAAUGGCAUUCUAUUGUCAUUGAAAUUUUCAGAUAUGGAUAUGUGAAUAGUUGUUUUGCAAUCCUGCAUUGUUUUUUUAAAACCAAGCUAGACAAUUAUUGUACAAUAGAAUGUAGCAAAAGUAAUUCCCCAGCAUUCUCAUUUUAUUCUUUCUUCUCUAAAACAGAUGCUGCUGGCAUUCCAAGUGUCUCCAGCCUUAGGGAGAUAAAACUUCUUUUGCUUGCUACAGUAUUUAUGUAUGCAAUUGAUUCUAGAAAACAAGGAAUGCAUUUUUAAGGAUGGCUUGAUUUUCGUUUGGAAAAAAAUAAAAGUUUGUACUAAAAACAUUAAAUCAGGUGCAGUUUAUGUGGCAACGAACUAAGGAAAACCAGAUAGUAAAUAAUACAGAGAAUCUUGCACAUUCAAGCACUCAAAAAGAAAAUGAGAAGAGAAGAAACUGCACAAGUAUUGAACGAACACGGAGGACAUAAACAAAAUAGUGACUGACACCAUCUAAAAUUGCUUUCAUUCCCUCUUAACACUUUUCACUCAACGACUUCUUUAUAACUUUCAAUUAACCCACACCCUCUGCUUGCUAUGUCUCUUUUUUACUGCCAGUGAUAUUUAAAGGAGAUACUAAAUUAUAGAUCUAGACAUGUUUAAAAGACUUCUUGUUACUGGUUUUGGUGUGCUGUGUCUGAUUUUAAAUUUCAAAGGGUGUGGAACUCACUAGAUUAGUUAAAAUCUAGUGUUAGGAUUGCUUGUGAUUAGAACUCCCAAGCCUGGCACUGACUGACUGGUGUGGUCUACACUGAGACAGUGUUAGAGAGCCAUGUGCAUGAAAGUGGGGGAGCAUUGCAGAACAUUGGAUGGGCACCACUUCCCCAGCCCCCUCUUCCAUGCAGCCAUAUUGGACAACAAACUCCAGUGUGGCAUGAACUGGACUUCCUGAGCAGGGGAGUUACUGGGGACAGGGGCAGUGCUGAAUGGACUGUAGAACAAGGAAGGCAGGUGGGCCUGGACUUUGGCUUUUUCAGCUUGGACUUGCACCCAGGGACUUGGGAGAGACACGCAGAGUCACUUGGAAGAGACACAGUGGUAGAGAUAGAUAUAAGGAGCAGAUGCUCUGCUGGGCCUUGGCAGAGAGAGUGGCAGAUGUUGUCCUGACUUCAUGGUAGAUUGUUUGUUAUAUUUAAAUCCUGUUUCUUUCCCUUUGCCCCAGCUCUUAAGGACCUGCUUCACCUCCUUCUUCUUGUUACUCUCUGUCAGAAGGUGCCUUAGACUUCAGCAAGCUCUUGGGCCUCAGUUGCCCUGCUUCUGGUCAACCCUGUCUGGCUGGCAUUUGCCAACAAGGGGCUAGGUAGAUUUGGUGUUUUGUUGGAAAAAAAUAUCCUCUCUUCUCUAUGAGCAUUAAUUCUACUAAAGAUCUAUAACACUAAGAGUUGGUUUUGCCUUUGUGUACAUAGAUGACCAGAUUCCUGUGUAGCAUGCAAAUUGGAGGGUCCCUUGGUGCUCCUCAGUCAUACACUGACGCACUACCUGCUUGUCUGACCCUGUAGGAUGUCAAUGAGCCUCUCCUGGAGUUGUGACAUGUGCCCUAGAGGUCCCCCAUGUUUGAAAACACAAACUGUGACCGGAUACACGGAUAACCACAGUGAACGGGGGAAGGAAAUGAACACAUAGGCAUCACAUGGUUGUUUGGAGUUGACAGAUUGCCUACAGUUUAGAAGGUUCCAGAAGAAUAAAGAAGGGGACAUGCUCUAAGGAAGAAACGAAAUGCCGCAGGGAGAGCUUCCAGACCACACUAAUCUUCUCUGAUGGCUUUUGGCUUCUGGUCACGUGCUUCCAAAGGGACAGAUGUGCUUGCACAGACCCUGCCUCAGAUGGGGGCCUUUAUUUGAUCCUGUAGAGAUGGUAUGGCAAGAAUCUCAAACUGAACUAAUUUCAAGUCUGCCAAAAUUUGGCUGCUUAAGGACAAGGAUUUGUUCAUGUAACAAUGACAAAAACCGUUCCAGAAACUAACGGGAGUCAGUUCUGGAGGGAUAGAAGAACAUUGUCCUUGGGGGUGAUGAAGUGUUCAUAGUAGUGACUGGAUAACUUCUAGAGUACAGCAAAAGCUAUAAUGAAUGAAAAACUAACAAGUGGAGAAGAAAUUGUUACUGUGGCUUGGUCUUGCCCUCAAGAGAUUUAGCUUCUGAGAGUAUAAAUAGGUAAGUGUGCAAUUAUAAUCUCAAGUGAUAGGUACUAACAUAACACUAUGAGGGGGCAGCUAUGUCUCCCUAUGUGUAUUGUGUUAUGUAUGUGUUUGUGUG